GGUAUGACACAUACUCCAUCAGGAUGUUGUGAUUGUGUACAACUACUGUACCGGUUCGAUCCAGUUUGGUCCCGAACGGCAGGAUCCUCAUAGCGCACGAGUGUGAAAGAAUGACAGGAAUACGGCACGAAGAAAGAUGAAGAGAAGCGUCCACGAGCAUCUGGAGGAAGGCAGAUACGGGCGGAGAGAUUUCAGGCCUCGGUAAGGUCAUCUUCACACCCUCUUGUUUUCUUCAUCCUUCCUCUCUGUGCCUGUAACCUUCACCAGGAGGCCACAGCGGACAUGAUGAAUGGAAUCAGAGCCGGAGAGAGGACAAAGAUGAGGGCGGGAGAGGCAGAUGAAAAAUGACAAACUCUGAAGAGGAAAACAGCGAGAGAGACAGAGCAGUGUAACGCUCCGAGAGCCCGAGCUGAGUAUUGAAUCCGGAGAGGAAAUGGGAGCCAGUUCCAGCCGGCUGGGCACAGUUGAGUUAAGUAUUGAUUUUCAGGGGGAGUUUAAAACCCUCAGACACCCUGCACAGUAAUCCAGGCUCAGGAAAGCAUCUAGCAUCAGUGGCCAACUGAAGUGUGUGUGUUCCACAAGGCCCGCGGGAUCUUUGACCGCAAACAUGGGGAGCAUGAGACCCUGUUCGUUCACCAUCAGUGGGGGCUACUGGGACGAUGCAUGCCCCCCCCUUUAAUUUAGUUAGAAAUUAAAUUACAAAUAGGUUGGGAAAAGCAACUAUUUCAAUACAUGGGGGUAUAUAGAGUACAAGGAUGCACUACUUAAAAUCUAAAUUCACAAUCUGAAAAAAUAAACACGCCAAUUUGACUUAAGGAAAGGCACCGCACUUGGCGUCCAUAUUUGCAAUACCUGUGGGCAGCUAUUUCAGUCAAGACCAAAUCCUGUCAACUUCUAUUGGAAAAAACAUUACAUCUUUACAUAUGCUCACAAUGAGUGCAAUAAAACACAUUUCCAAUCGAGAAUCAACUAUGCCAAAAUAUUUUGAUUCUUGAACUCAAAUUGCCCUGAAACCCAUUGUUCCCAACUUUUCCAGGACGUCCUUCACUACAGAAGCUGUGUUGAGCAU